AUAUAUAUAUAUAUAUUUGGAGUGCAAAUUAAGGAUUCUGUUUGGUUUGGUUCAAACGAUUCUCAAAAUAUAAUAUGUUGAAUACAGUAAGUGUAUAGUGAUGCCUUGGUUGUUUGAGAAGUACUGUGCGUGAAGAGUAGAGAGUACUUUGAACCCCACAACCUAAAGCUAAGCAAGUUGUGUUCUUCAGUGGCGGAUAUAUAGUGCAACAUUGUUAUACAUUGCAAUAGCUUGUCAAUAUAUUUUGUCUCCAACAAUGCUCGUAGAUGUGAUAGAUUGGUAGGUUUUGUUAUUUACCUGAUAACAAGCACCAAAACUACGCUUCCUUGAAUCCCAAACAAGAAUUUGCAAAAGCAACAUGUACACUUCACCUAAUGUGUUGCUUUUUCUUUCAGAAACAAUAUAUAACAAACUGAAAACAAUACGACCUACAGUUUGAAUUCCUAUGUUGUUGUGCUGCAACGAUCAAGUGAUGUUGCUAUUCUAGUCAACAAGAACUAAAUUAGAAUUAAUCUUUGGUGUGACCAUUAUAUUGUAUGGUAUGACAAGGGAAAAAAACUCCAUUAAGCAGCUCAUCAGUGUUUUGGUUUAAAAUUUGUUGGUACUGAAUUUCAGGUCUCAAUAAAGGUGCUUAUGAAUAGAAAUGCUAACGUUAGCUGGUUAUGAGUGUAUGUAAAUAGUUGAUAGUUAGACAUCGGCGGUGUACAGCAAAUUACCAUAAAUUCCACUCUCAUUUGAUAUAGUUUAAGUACAAUCAUGUAGGCGCACGUGGUUGAGCUAUAUAUUAACAUAUUUAUCCUCAAGAAGUAUAUGCUAAAGAAUGUAAAGUUCCACAUUAAAUCAAACACAAUAUAUAUUGAAUCAUUGAGGUCUUUUGUAUAAAACUUCACAUAUGUUGAACUGUUAGGUUGGAAACAAUAUCAAUGUUGACAGUCACUAUAACACGGACAAGUGCAACAAAGAAGAUAACUCCCUUCACCUUAACUUACUACCAAGAUAGUUGUCAAAAUCAAACAGUGAUUCUGGUACCUGAAUGAGACACCAGAACGAAUCCUCUGAGGGUUGCUGAAAUCUAAAACUUCGCAAUACAUAUCGGAUCUUAAAAUUAAUAAAUUAGACUGAAAAAGUUAUACGAUGAAUGUUCUGGAUCAAACGUUCAUUCAAAUUUAAGUCUUUUUUACCUUCGCUUGAAUGCAUGCAUGAUGCAUGCACUAUAAACUAUAAAGGUUGCUUUCUGGUAGGGGUUCUCCACGCCUGUGAGUCUGUGAAACUGUUCAUUAGCACACCUGGACCGACAGCACAGAGAGAGAGAGAGAGACAGAAGCUUUUAAGGCCUACCACACUCAACUAUACUAGCAAUCUUUAAUUAAUAGGGUUUGCAAUUGCAUACAUACAUACAUUUCAGAAUAUCGUUUCUUUGUCUUGUUUGGUCACACAAUUUAAUCACAAAUUCAAUGUGAAGCAACAAACAGACGAAAGUUGUAUGCAGGGCAUUUAAAUUUUUUUCUUCGUUUUUCAAUAAAUUAAAAGGCCCCAUUUGCGCUUCCAUAUGAGUACAGCUACAAUACUGCAUUUGCAGGACAUCAAUGGGUGGACCUAACCCUAACCAUCUGUCUAUUAUAGAAUGGUAACCCCUUUGGAUGUAUAAAUCUGACUGGCCACCAACCAAAAACUAGGAUGUGAGCACCUCCCCAUUAGGAAAUAGAGAGAUUGGACACGUAAUUAAGUUUAAUUUGGGAUUGGGUCCAUUAUUACCUUUGUGUGCAUGUCUCUCUCAUAACGAAAUGUUGAACAAAAUUGAGCUUGCACCAUAAAAUUAAGGGAACUUUAGCAAAAAGCUCAUGGUACUGUUCAUUUUAACGAAAAAUCACAUUUUUACACUAAAAAGUCAAUCCUUUUACUAUUCACUUUACCUUUUAUUUUGUCCUUAUCGUUAAAACCCAAAGUUUUCAAGCCAUUUUCAUUAGUUUUCCUUUAAUAGUAUGAGGAGUAGAACAUACAAAGUCCAUUCUUUCAUCAAUGUGAGAUUUAUUCUCAAUACGUCCCCUCAUAUGUGGCAAUCCCUUCUUUCAUCAAAGUGAAAUUCAUCCUCAACACGACCUAUCAUGUGUAGCGAAUUUUUAAGCCUAACAUGCGCAGACAAGACAAUUAGGUGAUAUGGAACACGUGUGGCUGUUGGGCUUCAACGAAAAUUGCUAACACCGAAACUCAAACCUUGGUGGGGUGACACACAAGGCUGGGACCUUACUAACCGAGUCAACCCUUGUUGGCUAUUGAAUUGAGUAUGUUAGGGUUGAAUGUUUUAUUAUUUAUAUUUCAUACCCUUUUAGAUAAAUAAAAAUAAAAAUUUUAAAAUCUUAAUUAAAUGCAUUAUUAUUAUUAUUAUUAUUAUUAUUUUACAAACGAUAGCAUUAAUGGGUUAAAUUGUUAUUAUUUUACAAAUGAUACCGUUAGUGGGUUAAAUUGUUAAUUGUUAGGAGGAGGAGAUCAGUGAAGAUCGAAUUUGCACCAUGAUGUAUAGGCAUUAUUGCAUUAUUUAGUCUAGCUAAUUAUACAUUUGAAUUUUUUAGCUUUCAUCAUUGCCACCAUUAAGACUUGAAUCCAUAAGAAACAAUUUGUCAGUCAUAACCCUAUUGUUCAUGUGCAAUAAAAUUUCUCUUGAAAAAACAAAAUAUAAAGCCCAAAAACACUCAACACAUAGACAGUUAGCAUGCAUAGUUAAUCGAAACCUUAUAAAUAGGUAAGCAAAUCCUAUCUACAUCACCUCCGAAAUUGGUAUCAAAACUUAUAAGUCCACAUUACCUACACAUUUGGUAUCAAACCAAAAUACAUUACCUACAUAUUCAGUAUCAAACACAUCCACAUCACCAAUAUAUAAGACUCCAAUCUAAUAACUUUUAAACCCAAAAAUUAAUUUGUUCACAUAAAUAACAUUAAAUUAUAAAAAUGAUGUUGACAAAAAAAAAAGGGCAAAACUGUAGAGGGUAAAAUAAGCAUGAAACAACAUGACAGAUAUGAGAACCAUAACUAUUAAUUGACCUCAUAAACUCACUUUGGUAAAUUUUUAACAUUAAAUGAUAGUCAAAAGAUGAAUGGGUUUUCCUUAAAAUAUUCUAAUGCAAUUGGGUUGAAAUCUACUUUUAAAUCAAAGGAAAACAAGGAACGUGAUUAAGCAGAGGUGUAUAAGAAGAGAAAAUGUGUAUUAUCAUUUUCCCUGGCAAAAAUAGAGAAAAUGUUUUUUUGUCAGGUUGUUAAGUUGUCAUACUGUGAAUCUAAGCCAUUAAUCUUGUUGAUUAUUGAAAAUAUUUGGUUUAGUUUGAUUGAGCCCGAAACUAAUGAAAAAUUUGGGAAGAAACAUGAAACCAAUCCUUAUACUGGGAGUGAGACAUGACCACGACUUAAGAUUCAAGUAAUAAGACUAAAGGAAUGGGAGGAAUGAUUAGUAAAGCGCAUGCUAACACGAUCGAGCCAUCCAAAAAAUGCAAGACUUAGAUUACCAGAUGCUAGACACAAUCUUCCUCUUUCUAACCUCUCCCUCUUUCUUGUUUACCUAGCUUUUUCUUAGCAGCUCUUUCUCAGCCCAUAGGAUAGGAGUGCAAAAUAACUUGAUUGCUAGAGACAUUAUGGUGUGAAUGGGUUUGUUUUAAAUUUGAAUGAUAUGGUGGCCUGGAACAGGGGAUUCGAAAAUCACAGGAGAACAUUCAAUCCUGAUCCAGCAGUACUGUAUUUGGACCACAGCCAUUGUUGUGGUGCAGCAGUGCCAUUUUUAUUUGGUUACAACUAGACGAUAAGGAAUCGUACCACCACGGUGAAUCAGAUGAGACAAUUCUCUGAACAUUUAAAGCCCGAUGAUAUCCUAAGAUCGAUCCCUGUAAUUGAUGAGGAAGCUGAAAUGAGUGUUUUUCAUUUUUGGGUUCAAUAGUUGGAUUAAUUUGAUUGUUCCGUAACAAAAAUGUUUUUGAGAAAUGAUUUCCAUAUACUCUUGUUUAUUUAGAGCAAGUCCACCGGACACUUCAUUGCCCAACACCCUGUCCAAAAAUCAGCUCAGCACCCUGUCAAUCUGCUCUAGCCCGCAAAACAGCUUGGCACCCAGCCCAAGCCAGGCAGUAGACCAACCCAUUCCGGACAGACCCAGAGGCCAACCUAUUUGGUUGGUGUGUGCAGCACACUCGCGACUAGGCGUGAGUAGGAGAUAAGGGUGCAGGCGGCAGGGCCCGCUUGUCAGCCCACUUGUGUUCACCCGGUUUAGAGCUACGUGGCCCUCCUCAGUGCCGUUGGAUUUCCAACGGUAAACAAAAUUUAAAUUUGACUUUUAAAAUGGACCGUCUGAUCACAGAUCAACGGUCCACGUUUUUUCAUAAAAAAUAAAAAUAAAAAUAAUUAAAAAAGGCCCAACGGUCAGAAAUAUGACUAUUGGCCACGUGGCAACUCCUUGGCUCUUGGAUUUGAAUAUUUUUCAAAUCCAACGGUCCAGAUUCAUUAACUAUAUUAAAAUUUAUUAAAAAUUAUGAAAAAAUACAGAAAUUUAAAAAAAAAAAAUUCUAUAAAUACCUAACCCUUAUCUUCCACCUUACACCACAUUUCAAUAUUUUCUACACUUUCUAUACUAUCUACAUUUCAAUAUUUUCUACACUUUAAGAGAAAAAAAUGUCUUCAUGGAAGCUCAUUGAAGAUGUUAUGUUGUAUGAAUGUUGGGUUCACACUACUCAUGACCCGAUUACGGGUAAUGAGAUGGAUAAGCAAGAAAUGUGGAGUAAAAUUACGAAAGUGUUUGCGAUGUACAUGGAAAAGACGCCAGAACUAGUCAAGGUCUUCAAGGUCGUUGGAAAAAACUCAACACAUGCUUUACUUGUUGGAAAAAUGCCAUCUCUCAUGCUUCCAGUAACUUGCGUAGUGGGACAAGUUUAGCGGAUCAGGUGAUAAUAUUUUUAUUUAUUUAUAUGCAUUCCACCCACAUCAAUAAUUUAUUUAAUUUCGUAUGUAAUUUUUAUGUUAUUUCUUAUGUAAUUUUUAUAUGCAUUCCACCUGCAUCAAAUUUUUAAUUUUUUAUUCCAAAUUAAAACUAUUUUAUUUGAGACACAUUGGUUAAAAAUCCUAUCCGAAAUUAAAACUAUUUUUAUUUUUUUAUUCUUUUAGAAAAAAUUUAAAAAUAUUUUAAAUGGGUUGGGUGCCAGCGCAUUUUUUCACUGGGUGCCAGCGCAUUUUUUUAGGGAUGGAGAUGCAUUGGCCUAUUACUGUUCAUUGGAGUCAAUUACUGUUCACUGGAGUGGAUAAAUAGGUUGGGUGCUGGCACAAAGUCCUUAGAGGUGGACUUGCUCUUAUGUCUCUGACCCUCUUUUGAUUUAGAUAAUGCAAAACUACAAAUAAACAUGAGUGCAUGGAAGAAAAAAAAGAGUGCGGAAAUCCUGCUCUGGUUUUACUCUUUAGCAGUAUUGACUAGUUAAUUUGUUUGCAAGUCAUUCGUAGAAGAACAAUACUUGGCUGCUGAAAAUUCAGCAGCCAUUCCUGCUUUCACCAAAUCAGAUUUGGACACAUGUCCAAUUUGUGCUUACAAUUUUAAUUAUUUAGACACGUGUCCAAAUUUAAUUAGAUAAAAACAUAAAUGGCUGCUGAAUUUUCAGCAGCUAAGUAUUGUUCUUCGUAGAAUAUAUAGAUGAUGAACUUAAACCCAAUAUGUAAUAGUAAGUUGAUACCAAGGGAAAGUUAAAAGUUUGAUGGUUCAUGCAGUUUCAUUUUAUCGCUACCUGCAAAAUGCAACAGGUACUGGAGCCCCAAGUAGUACUACAAAUUGCAAGUGUCUUGGUUGGAAAUUUAUUGCAUUACAUGGAAAAGUCAAUUCUAAAUGCAUGCAAACCUGCGGACCAGAGAAAAUUUUCAUUCUGACUAGAACACGAGUGAUACACUACUUGUUUUUAUGUAAGUGGUAGAAAAUUUUAAUAUUUAAGUUAUUAACCUUUUAAUACACAUAUAUCACUAUUUGUAUAGUGACACGUGAUGUAGCACUCCGUGUUCCGAUCGUCACACUGAAAAAUCUGUAUGUGGACGGCAUGUGGUGACUUAUAUCUUCUUCUUUUUUUUUUAACAAAAAGUUAGGGGGAGAUUGGCUUAUUUUCACUACCAAUGGCAAGGUAUACCUACAACCUCAAGUUAGAAGAACUUAUGUCUGGCAUCUAACUGCCAACUGCCACAUGUAUAGAUUUACAUAAGAAUUUACAGAUAAUGCACCAACGAAAGCAUCUAACUACAUGGAUCAAAAUUGGAUUGAAGAUUAACCACAAACACGCCUUUAUCAACUGAACCAACUUAACUAAGAACUUAUAUCUUCAAUGAUAAAAAGAGCACUUACUUUCGCAUCUAUAGCAAAAAUUCACCUCUCGCAUUACCUUUUUCUUAUAAUUCUCUUUUUUUUAUUUUUUAUUUUUGAAACAAAACACGAAAGCAAAAGAAAACCUGAACAUAUGAGUACAAGCUGAGAUUUUUGUUUUGUGGUCAAGUUUGGUGCCAAAUGAGUUGCAGAGUAGCAUGUGUUUGGGAAAUGAUCAAUUAACAUUGCUUGCUCAACCUCAUGAAACACGUAUUUGUUUAGAAUUAUCGCUUUGUGGAACUAGAAUAGUGGGCUAUCAGAAACCGGGGGAGUCGAUUAACAUAGACUGAUGUUUGAGACCUGGCCUCUCAUGGGCUAAAGCAGCAAAACAGGAAAAUCAGGUGUAUAAACAAAAUGGGCCAUUUCAGGAAUAUGGCUUCUCAAGACCUAAAUGAAACUUGGAUUCUCAAGACCUAAUUGAAAUUUGGAUUCUUGAACUAAAAAUUCAUGCCUAUGUCGUCGAAUGUGUUACAAAUAUGAAAUAAUGGUCUUUUUGAGUAACAUCAUUACAACUUACAUCCAAACUAAAGGACAUUAAAAGGCAAAUAAGGGGGAAGAAGUUCUAAGACCAUCUCUAACUCUUGGCCUAAAACCUAAAGUUUUUAGCCCAAAAAAUUUAGUUUUUAACCCAGAAACAGUUUUUCUGCUCCAAUCCUUCUGGCUUAAAAUUUUAGCCCCAGAUUAUUAAAAAAUGAAUUCAUGCUAAUUUUUUUUAUAAAUUAACUUUGUAAAAAAAAAUAUUAUGUAGACUAUAUCCUAAAUUAAUUUUAUGAAUUUUUAACCUAAAAAUAUUUAAAUUCUGAUAAACAUUGAAAAAUUAUUAAACCGACAUAUGAAACUCAUGAAACACUAUAGAAGAAUAUGAAACACAUGAUAGAGAUGUAUAAACACAAGACACAUGAGCAAACACAUGGUUUGGGAAGAUGGUAGAAAGAAAAAUUGGAAGAAUUGUAGGAGAAAAGUGAGUUUUGUGUGGAUGUUUCAACAAAUAUAUUGGUAUUUAUAGAGUUUUUGGAUGAAUUUUGAGUUAAAUAAUUUUUUAUAAUUAUUUUAAUCGUUGGAUUCAAUAAAUUUAUAAAUAUAAAACAAAAAUACUAACUAAAUUAAAUGUGGACCGUUGGAUAACCAACAACCCAUUUGAAUAUGAGUCGUUGAUCAACCAAAAGAGCCGUUGGGCUCAAUGUUAUUGGCAGACAAGUGGAAGAUACACCCAUGUGGGUGGGCUCCACCACUAAUCUUGGCCUAAAUCUGGCUUAUUUUUUUUAAGUUUUAGGUUUUAGAUCCAAAGUAGAACUUGGGUUGGAAUGGAUUGGGAUUAUAGGUUUUAGGCCGUGGGUUGGAGUUGGCCUAAGGGUGUUAUUUCAAAAAACUAUUGCUCUACAUUGUGAUAAGUUCAAGGAACUCUCACGAAUUCUUUAGUUCAUGAGCCAAAUUUUACGAAUCAAUUGAUAUCGUUCACAAAUUUUACGAAUAGAACCCUCGAUAGUUCUUUGUUUCGAACUAUACCAGUUUUCAAGAGUGAAGCUAUCAACUGUUCAACCAUAUCUCCGAAAAAUAAUUCUUCCCUCUAAGACCAACUCCAAUGGUGGGCUAAAAGUCAAAUUACCCCCCAAACCCACUCCAACCCAAAGGGAAAUUUUGGGCUAAAUGCUAAAUGCUAAACCAAAGUCAGAUUCCCCCCAAAAUUUAGCCCAGAAAUCGGAAGUUAAAAUUUUCAAUAUUUAUCGGAAUUUAAAUUAUUUUUAGAUUAAAAUGUUCAUAAAAUUAAUUUACGAUAAUCUACAUUUAAAAAAAAUUAAUUUAACAUAAAAAAAGCCUAAAUUCAUUAUUUAAUAAUCACAGGCUAAAUUUUAGGCUAGAACGGUUAGAGCAGAAAAACUAUUUCUAGGCUAAAAGUUAAAAUUUUCGGGCUAAAAUAUUUGACUUUUAGCCCAACCAUUGAAGAUUGUCUAAAAAUGAAGUGUAGAAUAAGCGGUUUGAUCAUACAAUGUACCAAUUGGUUUAAUAUCACCGACCUUGAAAUUUAUAAAUAAUCUAGAGCCCUUGAUAAUAUUAAACUUGGUACAUUAUACAUGAUCACAUGAGGCAACAAGUCCAACUAACUCUUAUCUUUCAACAAUUUCCAAAUGAAACAAUCAACCCACAUCACAUCACCAAUACAAAAGCAGUUUCUUACAUCACAUAAAGCAGUUCACUUCCAGGAAUUUCUCAAAAGUCCUCCAGUAUUUCACUCUUUUGACUUCACACAUAAAUAUGUCAUGUUAGCCUUCAGAAAAUGAGAAAAUAUUCCAAGCCUUCUUCUGUUCUUCCACAUACUAUGGAACACACCGCUAAUUUUACAUACAAACAUUACUCCCACUGGUUACGGUAUUUCUGUAGUCUUUACGUCUACUGUGAGGUCAAUGAGCUAUCUUACUGGGCGGAACUACCUUGUCCUUCCACGUAUGGUCUAACGAAAGUUCUCCUCCACCACACUUCGAACGCCCUCUGAAGAUUCGGGCAGCUGUCACCAGCCUUGAGAAAGCUUCCCAACCAAGAAAGCAUAAUACUUUGCUGGUCCUCUAGAGGCAGAGUGAGGAUUGUCCUACCAAUUCCUUCUUCCACAACCUUCCUGUCAAAUGACCGGCACCCAUGUUGCAGCCAGUUGUAGUCAUCGAUCAAUGGCUGCAGCCAGGUUUGUAACAACAGCUGACGGGUAUCCUUAGAUGGCAGCAGCUCCCCUCUACCAAUGCCAACAAACAGCCUUGCUGUGAUACAGCUAACAUGGUAACGAGACACGAUAGGCAGCUUCGUAUGUAAGGCUGCCAAUUCUUGCUGGCUAGCCCACAGUACUGCAAAUUCGUCUGCGGCUUGCUUGUCAGCCAAAAUCUCAAGCAACCAUGAGAGGUUAUCAGCUGCCAAAGCUAAUUGCUUCACCACAGGUUCUUUGUUGUCGACAGGCUUAUCAGAAGACUCUGGCUCUGCAGCGUGCUUGAAUAGGGACAACAGCAACUUCAAACAGCUUCUGCACGAGUUAUACAGUGUUUCAUUGCAGACGUUAGCAGAACCUUGAGAGCUUGAGGCACUGUUGUUCUCCUUGAGGAGCUUGAGCACUACGGAUUUCAUUUCACGCCUGCCUCUCUCCUCAUUGCUUGCAAGAACAAGUCCAAUUAUGUGGGAAAGUGUGUCCUUUUGGGGUUUAGAAACGUCGGACGAGACUCGUUUCAGUACAGGAGUGACCCCAAUACCCUCACUUUGGAGUCGCAAGACCGACGAGACAACUUUUUCUUCUUCCUCAUCCCCAACCCACGGGACUGCUUCCAAGUACUCUAAACAUGACUGCAUGCACGAGUUGAAGCCAAGUAGUUCUGCAAUCUGAAAGAAGGUGCCAUUAAAGGUUAGGUUUCAGCGUAUUUCAGAUUAAAUUAUGACAUAUAGAUGGUAUAUAGGGAGGCAAGAUGAAAAAUGAAAAUACAGGUAAGCUGACGAGAGAUAUACAAAACCUACUGAAUGACGGUAUAUGAUAAUCUAAACGACUCUACUUCUUUGCAUUACAAGAGUUCAUUUACCGACUUUUCAAACCAUCUUAACAACAAUCAAAUCUGAUGUAAAAAAUAAACCCUAUUAGUAUCAGCGGCCAUUGGCUAAAUGAACUUAAUGAACGCUCCAAAACAUGAAGCAAUUUAAUCCCUAUCAAUGAACUUAACCAAGCCAAACUUUUUAGCUAAUCACAUAUGAUUAAGAAGGGCCAUUCAGAUAAAACAAUCAAUCUGCAUCUCAAAAUGGAUAUAGGGUGCUGAAAUGGAACAUGCCAAAAUCCUAAGCUAAGAAAAUAUCACACGAUAGUCACCAACAACAUUUUAAAUUCGAUAUAACCAAACAGUUUGCAAAGGUCACUUACAAAAUCUACCUAAUCACGACUGUGCAGGGAUAAAGCACCUUUUUCUCUCUAAACAUGUUUAAAAAACAAUUUUCAUGCAUGGAAAAUUAUGUGAGGAUAGAUAUUACUAAAGUUAACUACAAAAGCAGCCUGAUG
rnacentral:lncRNA from 1 species